UAGGUAGAACAGAUGUUGCGAUCUGUUCUGUUCUUCCCAAGAACAGAUCCGAGGCGAUCUGUUCUUGGCGAGAACAGAUCCAUGAUCUGUUCUUGAAUCAAGAACAGACCGUGGGUGUAAUACCCCAAACUGUAUAAUUAUCCAAUUGGACCACGUGUCCAGUUUAGAUUCGCUGGAGUGAUGAUAUUGGAUUCCGAUAAAUAAGUUUUAGCAGGUCGGUUUUAGAAAAAGGUUAUUAUGGAGAAAACUUAUAUUAUAUUUUAAUUCUAAAGUUAGAAUUGGAAUUAAAUGGGAGAAUGGCGAGAAAAGCCUAAAAUAAGGUAUAGGGACCAAAGUGGUAAUUUAGCCACUUUAUGUCGAAAAUAGAAAUAUUGGAUUUUGACGGGAAAGUGUUAAUAUCGGGCUUUGUAUUAUUUAUCAGAUAUAAAUAAUACGUAUAAGUCGUAAUAAAAGAGUUUAACGAUUUAGCUAUGGACUAAAUCGUACGGAAGAAAAGUUUGAAAAAUAAAUGGUAACAAGGAAAGAAAGAAAGGAUCAAAGUGAGCUUUUAACCUUAACAUAUAAGGUUUUAGAAUUUGAAUCAGAAAGAAGGAAGAAGUAUCCAGAGAGAGCGAGAGAAAUUCAUUCGAUUACGUCGUUUCGCCGCCGUUUCUCCGUUCGACGUCCGAUUCAAGCGAUUUUCGCGGACAUCUCUCCGGAAUUCAAUCCUCUACUGAUCUUGAGCUUUAUUUCAAGACGUGUCAGCAAGUAGUGAAGUCAAUAGAGGCGGACUAGCGAGAGCGUAUUAUCAGAUCGAUCAUAUCAUUUCUUGGAUUGCGGUUCACUGUGCUUAGCUUGUGGACUUAGCUAGAGGCCAAUUUUGAAGUCCAGAAGUCAGCUGUAUAUGUUAGUUUCUGACUUCUGUGAGUGCUGCAGUAGUGGUCCUGUGUCGAUAGUAUAGUAGCCUAGACAGCAGUUCAUUUUGAUUGUAUAUAUUAACUGCUGUUAUUGUUUUAUAUGCAUUUUGAUAGGCUACGUGUUUAGUAUAUGAUCCACAGCCCCAGAUGCCGGUGAGAUGUUUGAAACACUAACCGAUGUAUAUAGUACCGCGAGGCCAGUUCGUACAAAGUACGGUAACUAGAGCCCGCGAGGUUUUGAAACAGUUAGUGUAAAUGCAUGAUUAUAUGUUAUAUAUGUAUAUUUGCUUCCGUUGUU